CAGGCCUAACACCUGCAAGUCGAGCGGGGAAGGGUAGCUUGCUACCUAACCUAGCGGCGGACGGGUGAGUAAUGCUUAGGAAUCUGCCAUUUAGUGGGGGACAACAUUCCGAAAGGAAUGCUAAUACCGCAUACGUCCUACGGGAGAAAGCAGGGGAUCUUCGGACCUUGCGCUAGAUGAUGAGCCUAAGUCGGAUUAGCUAGUUGGUGGGGUAAAGGCCUACCAAGGCGACGAUCUGUAGCGGGUCUGAGAGGAUGAUCCGCCACACUGGGACUGAGACACGGCCCAGACUCCUACGGGAGGCAGCAGUGGGGAAUAUUGGACAAUGGGCGGAAGCCUGAUCCAGCCAUGCCGCGUGUGUGAAGAAGGCCUUUUGGUUGUAAAGCACUUUAAGCGAGGAGGAGGCUCUCUUAGUUAAUACCUAAGAUGAGUGGACGUUACUCGCAGAAUAAGCACCGGCUAACUCUGUGCCAGCAGCCGCGG
rnacentral:rRNA from 1 species